rnacentral:rRNA from 1 species
CCUCGGGAGGCAGCAGUAGGGAAUAUUGGACAAUGAGCGCAAGCUUGAUCCAGCCAUACCGCGUGUGUGAAGAAGGCUUUCGGGUUGUAAAGCACUUUAAGCAGGGAGAAAAAGUUAUAGGCUAAUACCCUAUGACCGUGAUGUUACCUGCAGAAUAAGCACCGGCUAAUUCCGUGCCAGCAGCCGCGGUAAUACGGAAGGUGCAAGCGUUAAUCGGAAUUACUGGGCGUAAAGCGCGCGUAGGUGGUUUGUUAAGUUGGAUGUGAAAGCCCUGGCUCAACCUAGGAACUGCAUCCAAAACUAACUCACUAGAGUACGAUAGAGGGAGGUAGAAUUCAUAGUGUAGCGGUGGAAUGCGUAGAUAUUAUGAAGAAUACCAGUGGCGAAGGCGGCCUCCUGGAUCUGUACUGACACUGAGGUGCGAAAGCGUGGGUAGCGAACAGGAUUAGAUACCCUGGUAGUCCACGCCGUAAACGAUGACAACUAGCUGUUGGGAGACAAUGUCUUUCAGUGGCGCAGCUAACGUUUUAAGUUGUCCGCCUGGGGAGUACGGCCGCAAGGCUAAAACUCAAAUGAAUUGACGG